AGUGGCGGACGGGUGAGUAACGCGUGGGUAACCUGCCCUGUACAGGGGGACAACAGUUAGAAAUGACUGCUAAUACCGCAUAAGCGCACAGGACCGCAUGGUCCGGUGUGAAAAACUCCGGUGGUAUGAGAUGGACCCGCGUCUGAUUAGCUAGUUGGUGGGGUAAAGGCCUACCAAGGCGACGAUCAGUAGCCGACCUGAGAGGGUGAUCGGCCACAUUGGGACUGAGACACGGCCCAAACUCCUACGGAAGGCAGCAG
rnacentral:rRNA from 1 species